GCUGGUCCUCGGUGGUGGUUUACCGAAUCGCACGGCAAUAAUUCGGUGGAUUUCUACUGACGGCCAGC
rfam:Actinobacterium acMicro-1 AMD-COM-C794, whole genome shotgun sequence.